GUCAAGAGGUUCCAUGGCGUACUCAGGAAAUGAGCUCCCUUUACUUUGCUAAAGAUGUUGAGCACUUGUGUGGUCAUGUCCUUCGCCAGGAGAUCACAACCCUUGAGGGAGACAUUGACACUCCAAAAGUUCUCAGUGCAAUAAUUACUCCUAAAACAAGGCGCAAGCAUCUCUCUCUCUCUCUCUCUCUCUCUCUCGAACAAUGGCCCACAGACUAUAAGAAAAAAGCACUAAAGAAAAAUUCCAUUCCCACCAUAUGAAACGCCGGCGAAACAUUGUCACAAUAAUUUCUCGCCUCUUGCUAUACGAGCUGGGAGAACAGGAUGUUCCUUAACAAGCUCCACAUUAGCUGCCUCUUCUUCUUCUUGACCCUCCUCUUCCCUCACAGCACCAAGCAAUCAGCCAAAGCUGCCUCCUUUAUCUACUCAGGCUGCUCUCCAUCCAAAUAUGACCCCAACGGCCCCUUCCAGAACAACCUCACGCCGCUCCUCACCUCGAUCGUGUCUGGCGCCGCGCAGGCCUCCUACAACAGCUACAAGUCAGGCGACGACUCCAGCGGCGCGGCCGCCUACGGCCUCUACCAGUGCCGUAACGACCUGAGCUCCGAUGACUGCUCCAACUGCGUGCAGAGCGCGGUCAGCCAGCUCAACCUGGUCUGCGCCGACUCCCUCGCGGCCUCGCUGCAGCUGGAAGGCUGCUUCGUGCGGUACAGCAACGAGGACUUCCUGGGGAAGUCGGACACCACCAUGACAUACCGCAAGUGCAGCACGAGCAGGAGCGACGACGCGGAGUUCUUCCGGCGGCGGGAUGACGUGCUGGCCGACCUCCAGAACGGGGUGAGCUACCGGACGAGCAGCUCCGGCACGGUGCAGGGUUACGCGCAGUGCCUGGGCGAUCUGGGCGCCGCCGACUGCUCUGCGUGCCUGGCGCAGGCGGUGGGGCAGCUGAAGAAUGCGUGCGGGUCGGCGCUCGCGGCCGACGUCUACUUGGCUCAGUGCUACGCUAGAUACUGGGCUUCCGGUCACUACUUCCGGUCCUCCGCAGGUCUGCAGUCAAACUUCCACUACUUUACGUACCUCUCUACUCUGUUCUCAUUCAGAAAAAGGACUCGAAGUGCACCAAUAACACAGAGCCUCAUUGUUUCAAAUGCCAGUAGAAUCUUUAGUGCUUGCUUAUAUAAAUUGCCACUGCUUGUGAGUGGAUAGAUUACUCGGAUGAUGACAUCGGAAGGACUGUGGCUAUCAUUGUCGGCAUCUUGGCAGGAUUGGCUCUCAUCGUAGUUUUCAUUUCUUUUCUCAGGAAAACAUGCUAGCCACCAUCUGACCUUUCUCGGCGGGACACAAGUGGGGGUGUGUUCUACAGACAGCCACCCGAAAGAGACGGAGAGAACGCGCUCCCAACUGAUGUAAGCAAAAGACUUGAUCUUUCCAGCAAAUCAACAAAAGAGGAGUCGUUCAUUUGUAUUCUGCUGUUAACUGAGAACAUGGAAUUGAUCUUCAACCAGACCGCAUCAACGCUACAUAUAAUUUCUCCAUUUCCAGGAAA